rnacentral:rRNA from 1 species
UGCACAAUGGGCGAAAGCCUGAUGCAGCCAUGCCGCGUGUGUGAAGAAGGCCUUCGGGUUGUAAAGCACUUUCAGUUGUGAGGAAAGGGGUGUAGUUAAUAGCUGCAUGCUAUGACGUUAGCAACAGAAGAAGCACCGGCUAACUCCGUGCCAGCGAGCCGCGGUAAUACGGAGGGUGCGAGCGUUAAUCGGAAUUACUGKGGCGUAAAGCGUGCGUAGGCGGUUUGUUAAGCAAGAUGUGAAAGCCCAGGGCUCAACCUUGGAACUGCAUUUUGAACUGGCAAACUAGAGUACUGUAGAGGGUGGUGGAAUUUCCAGUGUAGCGGUGAAAUGCGUAGAGAUUGGAAGGAACAUCAGUGGCGAAGGCGGCCACCUGGACAGAUACUGACGCUGAGGCACGAAAGCGUGGGGAGCAAACAGGAUUAGAUACCCUGGUAGUCCACGCCGUAAACGAUGUCAACUAGCUGUCUGUGGACUUGAUCCGUGGGUAGCGCASUAACGCAUUAAGUUGACCGCCUGGGGAGUACGGCCGCAA